AGAGGAUUAGCCAAGUGGUUACGGCAGCGGGUUGCUAUCCCGUAGGGCUUCACCGCUCCGUGAGUUCGAAUCUCACAUCCUCUACCA
rnacentral:tRNA from 1 species